rnacentral:rRNA from 1 species
AGUCGACGAGAACAGGGAGCUUGCUUCCUGGGGACAGUGGCGAACGGGUGAGUAACACGUGAGUAAUCUGCCCUCGAGUGGGGAACAACUCCGCGAAAGCGGAGCUAAUACCGCAUAACACUCUGCAGCAUAAGCUGUCAGAGUCAAAGCUUUCGGGCGCUUGAGGAUGAGCUCGCGGCCUAUUAGCUAGUUGGUAGGGUAACGGCCUACCAAGGUAAUGAUGGGUAGCCGGCCUGAGAGGGUGAUCGGCCACACUGGGACUGCGACACGGCCCAGACUCCUACGGGAGGCAGCAGUGGGGAAUUUUGCGCAAUGGGCGAAAGCCUGACGCAGCGACGCCGCGUGGAGGAAUAAGGCCUUCGGGUUGUAAACUCCUGUCAGAGGUGAAGAAAGUCCUUUGGACUUGACGGUAACCUCAGAGGAAGCCCCGGCUAACUACGUGCCAGCAGCCGCGGUAAUACGUAGGGGGCGAACGUUGCUCGGAAUUACUGGGCGUAAAGGGUGUGUAGGUGGCUGAGCAAGUCAUGGAUGAAAUCCCGAGGCUUACCUUCGGAACUGUCCUUGAAACUGCUUAACUUGAGGAUAGCUGAGGAAGACGGAAUUCCCGGUGGAGCGGNGAAAUGCGUAGAUAUCGGGAGGAACACCAGAGGCGAAGGCGGGCUUCUGAGCUAUUCCUGACACUGAAACACGAAAGCUAGGGGAGCGAAC